rnacentral:lncRNA from 1 species
UGUCAUCUUCCCCUGCGUGGGAAUUGCUUAAGCUCCCUGGCUGGGAAGCUGCUGCCUUCCACUCAGCGUGCCCGCUGCAGGUGGAUGGUCAAGGCGUGGACUGCCGGGCAUGGGCCCACGGGCACCGGGCACUGGCCCCUUUUCCCUCCUAUCCAGCAAGGGCACAAGAGUGAAUCUACGUGCAGGUGUAAGAGCCACGUCCUCUGUCCCCAGGAUGAGAUAGAGAGAGCCUAGAGAGCCGGUAGAAGCCUAACCUGAGGUUUCCAUGACAACCAUGGAAGCCUCCAGAAACUUCAGCACCCCUACCAACUCCCUCUCAGAACCGCCAGGUUGCCAAAAAAUAUGCAGUACUGAAACGGCAGCCGAAGGAAAGGCAGGAACCAUGUGCUCUCAGACAGGGACCCUUGAGCUUCUCCCCCAGGAUGCUCAUGAAAGCCAGAGACUAACACAGCUCCGGAGAGAGUCAGGAAGAGUGGAACUGUAGGCCUUGCCUGCCUUUCCCAAAUGCACUGCCAGGAUUCCCAGUUGUGUGCACUACACCUGAAUACUGAUCCAAAAGGCCUUUCCAGAAUGUGUCCUGAUGACCGGGGCGACUUGCCAAAUGCCGCUUGGGUUUGAGAAGGCUGACCAGGAUGCACAGUGCAUGGGAUGAGGUUGCACAGUCAAUGUCCCUUGACGCUGAGACUUCACUUGGCUCUAACUCCAUGAGAC